CGGGCAGUGGCGCAGCUUGGUAGCGCGCCUCGUUCGGGACGAGGAGGUCGUGGGUUCAAAUCCCGCCUGCCCGACCA
rnacentral:tRNA from 1 species